rnacentral:rRNA from 1 species
UUGGAGGGCAAGUCUGGUGCCAGCAGCCGCGGUAAUUCCAGCUCCAAUAGCGUAUAUUAAAGUUGUUGCAGUUAAAAAGCUCGUAGUUGAAUUUCGGGACUGACAGGUUGGUCGCGCCUUCGGUGUGUACUGGUCUAGUCGGUUUCUCACCUUCUGACGAACCACGAUGCCAUUAAUUUGGUGUUGCGGGGAAUUUGGACUGUUACUUUGAAAAAAUUAGAGUGUUUAAAGCAGGCUAACGCUUGAAUACAUUAGCAUGGAAUAAUGAAAUAGGACGUUCGAUCUUAUUUUGUUGGUUUCUAGGAUUGACGUAAUGAUUAAUAGGGAUAGUUGGGGGCAUUAGUAUUCAAUUGUCAGAGGUGAAAUUCUUGGAUUUAUUGAAGACUAACUACUGCGAAAGCAUUUGCCCCGGAUGUUUUCAUUAAUCAAGAACGAAAGUUAGGGGAUCGAAGACGAUCAGAUACCGUCUUAGUCUUAACCAAAAACUAUGCCGACUAGGGAUCGGAUGAGGUUAAUUUUUUAAUGACUCAUUCGGCGCCUUACGGGAAAC